CUGUGAUGGCACAUUACAGAAUUUUUGCCUGAAAUAUAUUGGAGGAUUUCUGUCAGUGAUUUCACCUCACUUAUCUCUCUUGUCAUGAGAGCCAGGUCCUGCUUAUGGCGUCAAGUUGAGUCUACACUUUAACGUUUUUUCUUCAUUUUGGGCUCAGUCACAGAGCUCCAAGACCAUCCUUCUUGUGGAGGUUCUUCUCUAGGUUCAUCUCUCUGUAGGCUUUGUCACUGGUUUGAGAAUCUUUGGAAAUGAACUCUGUGAAGCGACACGGCUAUGCAUCACCAUACAUUAUAUUCAAGGAAAGGCGAUCUUAUAAGGCUUCUGAGGCAGACAGAUUACAUCUGUAAAUCCUGGUCCUGUUUUGUACCUGUUGUGAAGGGUAGACACAGGAAAGCCUGACCUCAUGUAGAGGAAAGUACGUGCAAUCACUCAACCACCGCGCAACCUAAGAGAGAUGGAUAUCCUGACAAUAUGGAAACAUUUUAAAUAAUCACCUUUCCGGUCCUGGACACAGGGAAGCAUCUCCAUAAAAUGCUGCCACCACUGCACUUCACGAUAGGGAAGUUCUUCUCAGGA